rnacentral:rRNA from 1 species
AGUUUUCAACUCCCAAACCCUUAUGUGAACCUACCUAUCGUUGCUUCGGCGGACUCGCCCCAGCCGGACGCGGACUGGACCAGCGGCCGCCGGGGACCAUCAAACUCUUGUAUUAUCAGCAUCUUCUGAAUACGCCGCAAGGCAAAACAAAUAAAUUAAAACUUUCAACAACGGAUCUCUUGGCUCUGGCAUCGAUGAAGAACGCAGCGAAAUGCGAUAAGUAAUGUGAAUUGCAGAAUCCAGUGAAUCAUCGAAUCUUUGAACGCACAUUGCGCCCGCCAGCAUUCUGGCGGGCAUGCCUGUUCGAGCGUCAUUUCAACCCUCGACCUCCCUUUGGGGAAGUCGGCGUUGGGGACCGGCAGCACACCGCCGGCCCUGAAAUGGAGUGGCGGCCCGUCCGCGGCGACCUCUGCGUAGUAAACCAACUCGCACCGGAACCCCGACGUGGCCACGCCGUAAAACACCCAACUUCUGAACGUUGACCUCGAAUCAGGUAGGACUACCCGCUGAACUUAAGCAUAUCA